UUCAUUUGCACCUGUAGUGGAGUAAUUCCUAAGCAGUGGGGGCAUAAGGCUAAGCAAAGAAAAUGAAGCAGCGGGCCAGCUCAGGCUCAUUUUUCACCUCCCUUCCCCUUUGGGUGUGGUGUGGGGACUUUUCCCCGCUACCCACAGCUGGCUGGCCCCUGCCAUGCUUUAUUAAGAAAGGACAUGAGCAGCAGGAUCAGCUCCCAUUUUGUCCAGCCGGCAUCGCCCCUCGCCAGCAUUCCGGGAAGUCACCCCUUGCAUCACUUGGCUCCUAAUUUAGAUUAACGUUGCAAGUUCUUCAAGGCAAGUUCUUCAAGCUCUGCAAUUUCUGUGGAACUGUAAAUUUGCCUUAUUGAACAGUGUUCAAGAAUGUCAGCUUUCAGUUGACAAAUAAGUAAACCACAUCCCAGACCUUGUUGUGAUGACAGCUUUGGAGAUAUAAAUCAAGACUAAACUGAUCUAGUGAUGGUUUCCAGACCUUAAAGACAUCACGGGAUGACUGCUGAGGAACAUGACGUGUCCUACACAUAUGAAUGAACUAUCAAACCUACAAAUGACAGCCUAUGGUGCAUUGGAAACUGAAACUGCAUGGACAAUAUGCAAUAAACGUAGUUUCAGACACACCAUAUAAAUCAUGCUGUGCACAACAGUAUGUACUGCUAUAUUUAAUCUAAUAAAAAUCCUUAAGAAUAAAUGUUUGUCAGAAAAUUCUUACUGUAUUUCUAAAAUCAUAAGUAGCUUUUCUCAGAUCAUGCUUUCAAGAUGGAUUUGUCAGGGCUGUGGUAGUGAGUGAAUCUUCAGUCACAGCUGGCCUAAGUUUAGUGACUUCACAGAGUGGCAGGCUGUCAACUUAGCCUGUCAGAGAAUGGGCGUAUUUAUUAACACAUGUAAUUUAUCCCUGAAUAUAGGUGCUGAACCAGACUGGUGUAAAUUGAGUGAGAUGGAGCAGAAGAGCCUACAAGAGGAAAGCAAUGAUGAGGGUAGAUAAUUAAAGUUCUAAAGGAACAGAUUUUGACUUACACCAUCCCAUAAUUUGUUUUUCCUUUAAUGACUUCCCUCUGUCUCCUACAUGUAAAUUUCACUAUCUGAAUGUCCGCUGAAUGCUAAAUGGUACCUGAUUUUUUUCUACUUUGUUCUCUUUCAUCCAAAAUUUGGUUCUAAAAGACAUUAGAAAAUUUAUUGAUUUUCAAUUUUCCACUACAGAAUAAUAUUUGGUCCAAUCUGUGUUGGUCAAAAUUAUGGCAUUAUGUUUGGCAAUAUUUGUUCACACUGAUAUUUUAUAUUCAAAACCAGCCAAUGUUUUAUACUUUUUAAAUAAUCAAUUUUUAUUUUUCUCUUUGAAAAGAAAACUGUCAGGAAUUACAUUAAAAUAGUCAAACCCAGAUGCUUGUAUUUUGUAUAAUUAAAGUAGUUUAACUGUCUUAAGAAGCUUUGGAGAUGAGUUUCAUGAAAAUUGUUUCUUCACACCGUUUUGAAUAUUAAACAUUUCACAAUCUGAAUUUUUUUUUUUUUCAGUGCUGUUUAUAUACAAAGAAAACCAAUCAUUGGAUAUGAUUGAUAAAUAUGAUGUCUCUCACCAAAACUGUGUGGCACCUAUAGUCAUCUGCCUGAUAAAGAUUUCAUAAUUGUGACUCUAUUUUUGAUUUAUUAGUUUUGGCUUUUAUCCAUGAAUUUUACAAAUAUUUUGAUGAUUUUUGUAACUUGAAAAAUACACGCAAGAAGUCAAGAUA